AGCGAACGCUGGCGGCAGGCCUAACACAUGCAAGUCGAACGAACGCUUCGUAAUUACUUGCGGACACGGGAGUAGCACGGCGGAACGUGCCGUUUUGUUCGGAAUAACUCAUUUAAACUUGUGCUAAUACCGGAUGUGCCCUUCUAGUGAAAGAUUUAACGCCAUUAGAGCAGCCCGCGUCUGUUUAGCUAGUUGGGGAGGUAACGGCGCACCAAGGCUACGAUCAGUAGCUGGUCUGAGAGGAUGACUGGCCACACUGGGACUGAGCCACGGCCCAGAAUACUACGGGAGGCAGCAGUGGCGAAUCUUGCGCAAUGGGCGAAAGCAUGAAGCAGCCAGGCUGCGUGAAUGCUGAAGGUCUUAGGAAAGUAAAAUUGUUUAAUCGGCGACGAUACUGACGGUACCCGGAGAAGAAGCACCGGCUAACUUCGUG
rnacentral:rRNA from 1 species